rnacentral:rRNA from 1 species
CAUGCAAGUCGAGCGAAGCUUUUUAGUAGUUUACUACUAGAAAUGACUGAGCGGCGAACGGGUGAGUAACGCGUGAGCAAUCUACCUUAGUUACUGGGAUAGCCCGAGGAAACUCGGAUUAAUACCAGAUAUUCUUAUUUUUUCACAUGAAGUUUUAAGGAAAGGUCAGCCGAACUAAGAUGAGCUCGCGUUCUAUCAGCUAGUUGGUGGGGUAAAAGCCUACCAAGGCUACGACGGAUAGCUGGUCUGAGAGGACGAUCAGCCACACUGGGACUGAGACACGGCCCAGACUCCUACGGGAGGCUGCAGCAGGGAAUAUUGUGCAAUGAGCGAAAGCUUGACACAGCGACACCGCGUGUGGGAUGACGGUUCUAGGAUUGUAAACCACUUUCAGGAGGGAAGAAAAUGACGGUACCUCCACAAGAAGACCCGGCCAACUAUGUGCCAGCAGCCGCGGUAAUACAUAGGGGUCAAGCGUUGUCCGGAUUUAUUGGGCGUAAAGAGCUCGUAGGCGGUUCAACAAGUCGGUCGUAAAAGUUUAGGGCUCAACCCUAAAAUGUCGAUCGAUACUGUUGUGACUAGGAUACGGUAGAGGUGAAUGGAAUUCCGAGUGUAGCGGUGAAAUGCGUAGAUAUUCGGAGGAACACCAAUUGCGAAGGCAGUUCACUGGACCGUGAUCGACG